UAUGGCGUCAAAACCGAUCCAAAAGACGAACGAGCACUAAAUGGCGCGGGCGAGCAAGAUGAAGCGUCAUUGCAUGAGCAAACACUGAGUCGAGAGAGAAGAAAAUGGUCAAGCCAGCAGAGGACGGGUACCGCGAGUGCACAGGACUGUCAAGAGUUUAAAAGCGCGACUUUAAGAAAGGUCAUCCAAAAACAGACUCUGGACCAGCAGUUGGAGCCAACCUCUAUCUGAACCAACCAGCAGACAAGAGAACACGGAACACCAAGCCGCGCUGUGAAAACAAUGAUUCAUUUUCGGAACAAAAAGAGCAGGUGCAGGCACAUAUCAACUACCGUAGUAUAAACUCUUCACAGAAUAAAAAAUACAAAUUCUGACUUAACCUCUUGUACAAAUUAAGGAUUUAUUUCAAAUAAAUUAAUUCACCUUCAUAGAUCAUUGUCAUAGUAGUAAUAAUAGCAUCAAUAUAGAAAUAUCCCUUCAGGUAAGCGAAGUCGAGGCCAAAGUCUGAUUGGUUUACCACUAAAAGGACAUCUUUCAGCCUGACUUGUCAAACGAAGUAGAAUGAUAAAUAUGGUUUCCUUCAGUCACCAAGAUUAUUAAUUUAAUAAUGAAUAGGAAUAAACUGUCCCAGACACAGCUCUUAGGUAAUGUAGGUUUUUGCCCUAGAAUGACUAGGGUUGGGACCGGGACAGGUAGGCUGACCCUAGAUCUGCGCCUACAG